rfam:Mesocricetus auratus contig156488, whole genome shotgun sequence.
UGGCACCCAAUGUGGCAGCCCAGGUACAAGGGCUUCAGUGAAGAGCAUUGCUGAGGAGAGCCGGCCACAUCAAAAAGAAAAGAAACAAGUAGUUGCAAGGCGGGAGCCUGCCGCAGCAACCGAGACCUCGGUAAGUGAGCCACGAUAUGGGACAAGACAUGAGUCAACAUGAACUGCUUGUUGAAGGCCUCAAGAAGGCACUUAAGGCGCGAGAGAUUAGGCGUAAAACACAGGAUUUGUUAAAGUUCUUUGUUUUUAUUAAGGAAGUUUGUCCCU